UCGCCUACCUUAGUGCUCUUUACUGAGAUGCAGAAGGAAGACGGAAGAUGCGGGCUCGGAAGGAAAUACGAGUGCACUUCUGGCCACUCUAAGACUGGGAUUUUUUCCAGCCAACCCACACAUGUCGGGAAGGGGAAGGCUUCUGGUGCUCGUUGAAGAAGCCGGCUGGCUCUAGGUAGAAGUUUAGGGUCAUCUGCUAUCUUUCUCUGCUAUCCCCAUUAUUUCCACUGCAUCUAAACAAGUCCAGACUCUGCAGGGAGAAUUUGUUUCCAACAAGCAAUGAGGAGAAGACACUAGAUCACGUUUCAGUAUAAACUGAGCUGGAUUCACGAAAGCCCUCUGCCCUGCUGAUCCUGCCCUGGCUGGAGUCCCCCUGGGAGGGCCCUUGCUGUGCGGUCUGCAACCAAGCAGUCACCCAGCUGUGACUCAGCCAGGACAGCUGAGGUGAUCCCCUGGGCCAAUCCCUGGACCUGCCGCUUUCAGCCCAACUCGGAAGAGGAGAAGGAAACCACCGGGAUGCGUAAACUUGCUGCAGCCUCUGGAGGAGGAAGGAGGGAGGAGUGGUGCCAGGGCAAAGCGAUGCAAGCACCCUCGAUCCUAAAAAGACUCAGACUCGGUUUCACUAUCUGGAAAACCGGAGGAAGAUCCACUUUGAGGAUGGAAAUGGCCAUCACGUGAAAUACAUGGCCUUUGCUAACUUGAAAGGUUUUGAAGUUCUAGAACCGUAUACAUUAAGGAGUGGUGAUUGCCAGGAUCUGUUCAGUGCUUAGCCCAGCUGUGAUACAGAGACUGCCCGGCUUGCCCAGCCUCAAGACCCUGCAGGCUGCUGACCUUCCUCCUAGGAGGGACACCUAGAGAAGGCUGAUGAUGUGUAAGGCUAAACAAUUACAACUCCUCGAUUGUCAGAACUCUUCUCUACAUAGAAAAACGACGAGAAUGAUCUAAGCCACCCUAUUCCAGCUGGAAAUCUCCAUCCUUCUAUCCAGUGACAAUAACAAUCCUGGGAAUUCUGAAGUUUUCCAGAUUAACUACCUACACAAUUGAAAGGGCUCUGCAAGGGGGAGGGGAGACAGGAGGGUGACCGCUCGCCCCUCUUCACCUGAGUCUCAUGAAACAAUACAGCCAGGCCUGCAGGACCCAGGUCUCUAUGAAGCAGCCCUCACACCUCGGAAGGUCACGCCACACUCACAAAACCACGUUCGGUGCUACCUUCAUACUUGAGCUCCGUAAGGAUGGCGCACGCCUCUCUGGAAGGAACGACCCACAACCUGAAAGGUGACAUGGGUUCAAGCCCUGGUCCGGGAAGAUCCCACAUGCCGCAGAACAACUAACCCCGUGCACCACAACUACUGAGCCUGCACUCUAAAGCCUGCAAGCCACAACUACUGAGCCCACGUGCCACAACUACUGAGCCCACUCACCGCAACUACUGAAGCCCGCGAGCUUAGAGCCCGUGCUCCACAACAAGAGAAACCCCUGCUCACCGCAGCUAGAGAAAGCCCACGCACAGCAAUGAAGAC